GACCAACCUAGAUGGCAUAUUAAAAAGCAGAGACAUUACUUUGCCAACAAAGGUCCAUCUGGUCAAGGCUAUGGUUUUUCCAGUGGUCAUGUAUGGAUGAGAGAGUUGGACUACAAAAAAGCUGAGCACUGAAGAAUUGAUGCUUUUGAGCUGUGGUGUUGAAGAGGACUCUGGAGAGU